AGUGAACGCUGGCGGUAGGCCUAACACAUGCAAGUCGAACGGCAGCACAGUAAGAGCUUGCUCUUACGGGUGGCGAGUGGCGGACGGGUGAGGAAUACAUCGGAAUCUACUUUUUCGUGGGGGAUAACGUAGGGAAACUUACGCUAAUACCGCAUACGACCUACGGGUGAAAGCAGGGGAUCUUCGGACCUUGCGCGAUUGAAUGAGCCGAUGUCGGAUUAGCUAGUUGGCGGGGUAAAGGCCCACCAAGGCGACGAUCCGUAGCUGGUCUGAGAGGAUGAUCAGCCACACUGGAACAGAGACACGGUCCAGACUCCUACGGGAGGCAGCAGUGGGGAAUAUGGGACAAUGGGCGCAAGCCUGAUACAGCCAUACCGCGUGGGUGAAGAAGGCCUUCGGGUUGUAAAGCCCUUUUGUUGGGAAAGAAAAGCAGCAGGUUAAUACCCCGCUGUUCUGACGGUACCCAAAGAAUAAGCAACGGCUAACUUCGU
rnacentral:rRNA from 1 species